UACGUAGGGACCGAGCGUUGUCCGGAAUCAUUGGGCGUAAAGAGCGUGUAGGCGGCCCCUUAAGUCCUGCGUGAAAUCCUGCGGCUCAACCGCAGACGGUCGUGGGAAACUGGAGGGCUAGAGUGCGGGAGAGGAGAGUGGAAUUCCAGGUGUAGCGGUGAAAUGCGUAGAUAUCUGGAGGAACACCGGUGGCGAAGGCGGCAUCCUGGACCAAUUCUGACGCUGAGGAGCGAAAGCCAGGGGAGCAAACGGG
rnacentral:rRNA from 1 species